AGUGAACGCUGGCGGUAGGCCUAACACAUGCCAGUCGAACGGCAGCACAGUAAGAGCUUGCUCUUACGGGUGGCGAGUGGCGGACGGGUGAGGAAUACAUCGGAAUCUACUUUUUCGUGGGGGAUAACGUAGGGAAACUUACGCUAAUACCGCAUACGACCUACGGGUGAAAGCAGUGGAUCUUCGGACCUUGCGCGACUGAAUGAGCCGAUGUCGGAUUAGCUAGUUGGCGGGGUAAAGGCCCACCAAGGCGACGAUCCGUAGCUGGUCUGAGAGGAUGAUCAGCCACACUGGAACUGAGACACGGUCCAGACUCCUACGGGAGGCAGCAGUGGGGAAUAUUGGACAAUGGGCGAAAGCCUGAUCCAGCCAUACCGCGUGGGUGAAGAAGGCCUUCGGGUUGUAAAGCCCUUUUGUUAGGAAAGAAAAGCAGCAGGUUAAUACCCCGCUGUUCUGACGGUACCCAAAGAAUAAGCACCGGCUAACUUCGUG
rnacentral:rRNA from 1 species